CCCGAAGUAGCUUAAUAAAAGCUUUGAUGUUUUAAAUCAUUGAUGAUUGGGUGAUCCAGUCCUUUGGGA
rnacentral:tRNA from 1 species